GCGCCGGUGGUUCAAUGGUGUAGCAUCUUGCCCGACAAGCAAGCGGUUGGGGUUCGAGUCCUAGCUAGCGCU
rnacentral:tRNA from 1 species